GACAGAGGUGCCAAGCGUUAGGCGGAAUUACUGGGCGUAAAGGGCUCGUAGGCGGCCAACUAAGUCAGACGUGAAAUCCCUCGGCUUAACCGGGGAACUGCGUCUGAUACUGGAUGGCUUGAGUUUGGGAGAGGGAUGCGGAAUUCCAGGUGUAGCGGUGAAAUGCGUAGAUAUCUGGAGGAACACCGGUGGCGAAGGCGGCAUCCUGGACCAACACUGACGCUGAGUGAGCGAAAGCCAGGGGAGCAAACGGG
rnacentral:rRNA from 1 species